CCAGCUCCAAUAGCGUAUAUUUAAGUUGCUGCAGUUAAAAAGCUCGUAGUUGGACUUUGGGUUGGGUCGGCCGGUCCGCCUCUGGUGUGCACCGGUCGUCUCGUCCCUUUUGCCGGUGACAUGUUCCUGGACUUAAUUGGCCGGGUCGUUUCUUCGGCGCUGUUACUUUGAAGAAAUUAGAGUGCUCAAAGCAAGCCCAAGCUCUGUAUACAUUAGCAUGGGAUAACAUCACAGGAUUUCGAUCCUAUUGUGUUGGCCUUCGGGAUCGGAGUAAUGAUUAAGAGGGACAGUCGUGGGCAUUCGUAUUUCAUAGUCAGAGGUGAAAUUCUUGGAUUUAUGGAAGACGAACAACUGCGAAAGCAUUUGCCAAGGAUGUUUUCA
rnacentral:rRNA from 1 species